rnacentral:tRNA from 2 species
GGGAUAUUAGUUAAAACAUAACAUCUAAAUUGCAAUUAGAAAUUGAAACUUUCAUAUCUUA